rnacentral:SRP_RNA from 1 species
GCUGUGUGCUGUGGCCCACACCUGUAGUCCCAGCUACUCAGGAGGCUGAGGCCGGAGGAUCCCUUGAGCCCAGGAGUUCUGGGCUGUAGUGUGCUCUGCCAACUGGGUGUCUGCACUAAGCUCGGCAUCAAUAUGGUGACCUCCCAGGAGUGAGAGACUGCUGGGUUGCCUAAGGAGGGGCGAACUGGCCCAGGUCAGAAACAGAGCAGGUCAAAACUCCAGUGCUGAUCAGUAGUGGGAUCACACCUGUGAGUAGCCACUGCUCUCCAGCCUGAGCAACAUAGCCAGACCCCAU